rnacentral:rRNA from 1 species
UACGGGGGGGGCAAGCGUUGUUCGGAAUUACUGGGCGUAAAGCGCGUGUAGGCGGUUGUCCAAGUUGGAUGUGAAAGCCUUGAGCUUAACUCAAGAAAUGCAUUCAGGACUGGAUGACUAGAGGACCGGAGAGGAUAGUGGAAUUCCCAGUGUAGUGGUGAAAUACGUAGAGAUUGGGAAGAAAACCAGUGGCGAAGGCGGCUAUCUGGACGGUUUCUGACGCUAAGACACGAAAGCGUGGGUAGCAAACAGG